rnacentral:piRNA from 1 species
UUCCCUGACUUAGGCACUGAGAAUGCA